rnacentral:rRNA from 1 species
AGUGAACGCUGGCGGUAGGCCUAACACAUGCAAGUCGAACGGCAGCACAGUAAGAGCUUGCUCUUACGGGUGGCGAGUGGCGGACGGGUGAGGAAUACAUCGGAAUCUACUUUUUCGUGGGGGAUAACGUAGGGAAACUUACGCUAAUACCGCAUACGACCUACGGGUGAAAGCAGGGGAUCUUCGGACCUUGCGCGAUUGAAUGAGCCGAUGUCGGAUUAGCUAGUUGGCGGGGUAAAGGCCCACCAAGGCGACGAUCCGUAGCUGGUCUGAGAGGAUGAUAAGCCACACUGGAACUGAGACACGGUCCAGACUACUACGGGAGGCAGAAGUGGGGAAUAUUGGACAAUGGGCGCAAGCCUGAUCCAGCCGUACCGCGUGGGUGAAGAAGGCCUUCGGGUUGUAAAGCCCUUUUGUUGGGAAAGAAAAGCAGCAGGUUAAUACCCCGCUGUUCUGACGGUACCCAAAGAAUAAGCACCGGCUAACUUCGUG